rnacentral:rRNA from 1 species
UGAGGAAUAUUGGUCAAUGGACGAGAGUCUGAACCAGCCAAGUAGCGUGAAGGAUGACUGCCCUAUGGGUUGUAAACUUCUUUUAUACGGGAAUAAAGUGAGCCACGUGUGGCUUUUUGUAUGUACCGUAUGAAUAAGGAUCGGCUAACUCCGUGCCAGCAGCCGCGGUAAUACGGAGGAUCCGAGCGUUAUCCGGAUUUAUUGGGUUUAAAGGGAGCGUAGGCGGGUUGUUAAGUCAGUUGUGAAAGUUUGCGGCUCAACCGUAAAAUUGCAGUUGAUACUGGCGACCUUGAGUGCAACAGAGGUAGGCGGAAUUCGUGGUGUAGCGGUGAAAUGCUUAGAUAUCACGAAGAACUCCGAUUGCGAAGGCAGCUUACUGGAUUGUAACUGACGCUGAUGCUCGAAAGUGUGGGUAUCAAACAGGAUUAGAUACCCUGGUAGUCCACACAGUAAACGAUGAAUACUCGCUGUUGGCGAUAUACGGUCAGCGGCCAAGCGAAAGCAUUAAGUAUUCCACCUGGGGAGUACGCCGGCAACGGUGAAACUCAAAGGAAUUGACGGGGGCCCGCACAAGCGGAGGAACAUGUGGUUUAAUUCGAUGAUACGCGAGGAACCUUACCCGGGCUUAAAUUGCAACUGACGGAACCGGAAACGGUUCUUUCUUCGGACAGUUGUGAAGGUGCUGCAUGGUUGUCGUCAGCUCGUGCCGUGAGGUGUCGGCUUAAGUGCCAUAACGAGCGCAACCCUUACGGGUAGUUACCAUCAGGUUAUGCUGGGGACUCUACCCGGACUGCCGUCGUAAGAUGUGAGGAAGGUGGGGAUGACGUCAAAUCAGCACGGCCCUUACGUCCGGGGCUACACACGUGUUACAAUGGGGGGUACAGAAGGCAGCUACACGGCGACGUGGUGCUAAUCCCAAAAGCCUCUCUCAGUUCGGAUUGGAGUCUGCAACCCGACUCCAUGAAGCUGGAUUCGCUAGUAAUCGCGCAUCAGCCACGGCGCGGUGAAUACGUUCCC